UUUUUGGACUGGAACUGUGUUUUACACACACAAAAAAAUGAUAAAAAGAUUCGGUGCAGUAUUUUAUUAUUUUAAUGAAACAAAACGUGAUAAAGAACUGAUAGAGAAUUUUAUUGUGGUCUGUGGCCGACUGUAAUGUGUUGCAAUUCGAAAUUGACAUAUUUGACCUAAAUACGACAACCGUUCAUGCUGGCUUUUAAAAAUUCCUCCCUCUGAAAAAUCACAUUGCAUGUAAUUUGCUUGUUUACAAAC
rnacentral:lncRNA from 1 species